CUGCACUCGCUGCUUGACCCAUGGCUGGGGUUUUUGCAGAUAUAAUCAAGUUAAGAUGAGGUCAUGCUGGAAUAAGAUGGGCCAUAAAUUCAAUGUAACUGGGUGUCCUUAUAAGAAGAGGGGAACUUUGUACACAGAAACAGACAUAGAUGGAAGUUGGUCAUUUGCCUGUGGAGGCAGAGAUUGGAGUGAUGCUGCCACAAGCCAAGAAGCGGCUACAGAAGCUGAAAUAGGCAAGGACGGAUUCUUCUCUAGAGGCUCUGGAAGGGGCAGACUUCUGACUUCCAGAACUGCGAGAGAAUACAUUCCUAUUGUUUGAACCCCUCAAGUUGCGGAUGAUUUGUUACGGCAGCCCUAGGAAAUGUGACAGGCUCCAAGUCACAUUUUGAGAAUCCUACACUGAGGCAGAAACUCUGCUGAUGAGGCCCACUUUGUGAAUAGUUGACAUGCUUCCAGCUUUAUAAACAUCAAUUCAAAUCUUAGAAGAGAAUUUCCCCCUCUGGGCAAAAUGGGCGUUGACGUAUUUUUUUAAAAUGGGAGUUAAAUGCUGAGGGUAUAAGGCACCUCUGGCCCAUAUGGGACUGGCUGAGUCCCAGGUCUUCUGUCUUCCCGGCCAGGCCUGAGCAUGUGCAGGGAGGAGGCCGACGACUGGCUGGGCAGAUGCAAACCUCCAUUUGUGUAUUGCUACCUUUCCAGAGCCUCGGGGAUGCUCGGUGGACACCUCACAGGAGGUGAGAUUGACAGAGCCGGUUCUAGUCUUAGCUGUCUUCUUCCUUCCUGAAGGUUCCUGGACAAGUCACCUGAUCUUGUGGAACCCAAGUUUCUCCACCUCUAAAUGGAACACACUAAAUUGUUAUGAGUGAGCAUCAGAGGAAAUCAAGAGUGUGUGAUUUAGCUCUGCAUGCAACGGGCUCUGUAGAUAAUUUUCAUUGCAGUUAUUUUGACUUCACUUUGGUGAGUCGACUACCCCAGGUUUUGAAAUGAACACAGGGAGGCAGAAUACGUGUUGUAAUCCCAGGCUACAGUUCUGGAGCCUUUAUUGAAGGAGAAGACAUUUUUUAUUUGUAAGAAUGAAAAACGGAAGGCGGGGAGCCUAUGUGGCAUGGAAUUCAAGAAAUGGAGCAACUGGCCACUGGCGAUGGGAAGGCCCAUGGCAGAUUCUGCAAAUCUCUCUGGAGUUUCUGCUUGAGUUCCUGUUCGCCGCUGUGAGCCCCUCACUCUUUCGUUGCUGAGACACCUUCACCAUGGCUCAGGAGGCCACAUGCUAUUCCUCAGGUGGCGGAGGGCAGAGACCGAGGGAGUCGGUAAAAAGGAGAGGGCUGGAAAAUUCCUCUUAGCAUAAGAAUAAACAGUGAUUUGAAUAUUCAGUUGUGAGGGUUAUAAAUAACUGUGAGUUUUCAUUGACGUGUAAGCGGUGAUACAUUUUGUACAAUAAUUAGUUAUUUGAUUACUUUUGUUUUAGCCUGAAGUAGAGGACAAUUGACAAAUGUGAAUACCUCUGAGACUGAUGGGGCGCAGUAAACUAACUUUAUUUAUUACAAAAUGCAAUUUUAUUAAUAUGAAUUGACAGUAAUUAAUUUGCUGGUGUUGAUGUUGUUAAUAAUUGCAUGUAAUUUAUGAAAUAUUCAUGCUAGAGCAGAAUAAAAUAAUGCACGGGUCCUCUGGCUUGUUUGUUAAGUCUGUGAAUAUUUCAACAAAGCCUUUCUAAUUCAAUGUAUUCAUAGUACAGUGGUUUAAAAUCCCACAAAAUUACCAAAAAUAUUUUAAUUUCUUAUUUGAGUGUUUCUUAACUCAACUUCCAGGCAUGUCCAGGGAUACUGUGCUUAUACUUCAGGGCACCAUGAAACUCCCUGAAAUUAAAUGGAGGAGGUGUUUUUUUGAGAGCCUCCCCCAGAAGAUUAAGUACCAGUGCAUUGUCUAACUUAAUCUUCUUCAAUGCUCCAAAAAUACUUUACUCCCAUUUCAUAGAUACAGAAACCAAGGCUGAGAGAGAUGUCAUUGUUGCUGGUCCCAUGUAAGUUGAAGUGUCAGAGGUAAGAUUCAACUCUGUCCUCUGGCUUCUAAAUCCAGGACCCAUGGAGUAAAAUCUAAUUUUGCCUUUAUUCCAGUUUUUUUUUUUUUCUGAAUGAAAGUAUGGACUGUUUCCCCCUCCUAAUUCAGUUUGGCCCUCUUGUUCCUAGAAAAGGAUUGUAAUUAGAGGGCAUCACAAUUGAAUUC
rnacentral:lncRNA from 10 species